rnacentral:lncRNA from 1 species
CCUGAUGCCCUUUUGAGACCUCCGUAGUCACCAGGCAAGUGGCACGUAGUCUUGUAUGAACAAGUAACCACACCCAUAAAAUAUAAUAAAAAUAAAAUUAAAUAGUGUUAAAUAGCAUCUCAAUUAUUAAUAAGAAUUCAAAGUUCAAAGGUUGUUUUAAAAUUUUUGGUUUAGUUUAGUUUUGAUCUUGAGAUCGGAUGUAGCUCAGACUAGUCCUGAGCUCUUUUGUCUCCACCUCCCAAAUGCUGGGAUAACAAGUCUGUGGCCCCAUGCCCAUGUCACAUAUAACUGGAAUAGUUUUGUGAAGAACUUUCAAAGCUGUUAACGUUUGAGACAAUUAUAAAGUAUUGCUAUGAGUCAUUACUAGUUAGAAAAAGUCCAUAAUAUAAUAAAAUGUGGGAAUGUCUGCAUCAGGAAGAAAAAGGAUUUCUAUUUAAUGACUUUUUUCAUGGAUUAAACACCGUAUAUUCUCAUUUAGUGUUAUGAAGAAACUAAAAUUCAAAGAAAAUGGUGACUCGUUUUAUUCACAACUAGCAAGUGUGGCUACUUGAGGCAGAUCCAGGCUGCUUGACUUUAAUGUCCAUUUUGUUUUUCCAGCUUUACUCUGCUUCCCUUGUAUCUGCUGAUGGAGUGUGUGUGCCUGAAUAAUCAUGGCAAUGAUGAAAGCUAAUCUUUCAGGUCCUCAGCCAGAUACCAUCACGACGCACAGUACACUUAUUAUUCUUCCCCUUUUCUUUCUAAACAUUUCAUGUUGAUCUGCCUACCUUUUCCUUAUGAAAAUGCUAUGAGUCAGAUGGAAAACAUGAACGAACAGAUAUGAUCACAUAACUAAAUAUUACAUACCACAAGCUAGCUUUCCCCCACCUCAGGUUUCUUAUCUGGGAGAAAGUGCUAUGAAGAAUAUUACUGGCUUAUCAUGCAUUUCAAAAGUGAAAUAAUUCUUCAUAAAAUUAAAAUUCUUAAUUUUAAUGAAACAGAUGGUAGUCUUCAUAGCAUGUUUCAUUUAAUUUUUUAGAAUAGGCAAUUGAUUUCAGGUCAGUUGAUGAAUUUCCUGCUUUAUACAGAAAAUAUCUCAGAAAAAGCCACUAUGGAAACAUUUAAGAUAUGUUUAGAUCAAUCUGAGGUCCGAGUAAAGACACACCACAUGUCUUAUAAAUCACCAUGAGAUGCUGCAUUUUGCAAAGGUCUGGAGAGUGUUAAUUCUUCCUGCAGAGAUAUAAUAGAGUGCAGAGAAAAACAGUGCUAUGUUUUGUGAUGUGUGUGUAGUUAAUUGCUGACUCCUGUCAAUAAUCUAGUUCCUGUAAUUUUUGUAGAUUGACAAGUUAUAGUAGCACCCAUAUAGCUGCACCUAACACUAACAAGUAUUGAGAACACAGUGCUUAUAAAACAUUGUACUUUGUUUAAGCCAUGCUGGUCACAUGAAGUUUUGUGAAUGAGAUAGUCAUGGAAUCAACAGCUCCAUUUGGGCUAAUACAUUUUUAAAGGUUAUACAGUUAGUCUCUCAUUUCCUUGUAAUAUUCCUCAAGUGCUCUUUAUGUAUCAGUUUCAAUCUCUAUUUCCUUAUAAUUCUCAACAACUGCUUUAUUUCUCAACACUAUCCUCAGAAAUUAGUAAACUCUGUUUUUUAAAGUGUCUUGCACUUUAUGUAUUUAUAACAAAUGUUUACCCUUGAUAAAUUGGAUGUAGUCUUCAGCACAUCUGUGUAAUAGAGCCAUUCUUAUCAUCAUGUAUAGAUCAAUAUCUGUUACAUGUAUGGUAAAUUAUACAAAUUCUCCUGAUUGGGGCAUGGGAAUUUAUUUUAUUGAAGAAUUGGAACUUCACUACAGAUAUAUAGUUUACCUUGAGAUAUUCUUUACUGAUGAUAGAAUACCAUCUCAUUGGUAAGGCAUUAAUAUUCAAGUGUGCAAAGCAGACUGGAUGGCUCAGUGGGCAAAAGCACUUGCCAUGACAGCCUGAUGAGCUGAAUUUGAACCCCAGAACCAUCUGAAUGGGAAGAACCAUGACUCCUGAAAGUUGCUUUGACCAGCUACACACUGCAUGACACACAUGCAUGCAUACAUGUACAUGUGUGUUCACACACAUAUAUAAAUAAUACAAGUAUCCAAAUCACAAAGGUGAUACUGGGCCAUUUAAGGUAAUAGUUCUUAUUUAGUUGUUGGACAUUUCACAAGGAUGUAGGUUUUAUUUGAUUUUUCUCACCCCAGAUACCAACCUCCACUUCCUUUCAAAAUCACCAACCCACCUCCCUCCCAAGUUCAUGUUUCUAUUUUGUUUUUGUUUGUUUGUUUGUUUUGUUUUGUUUUUUUUUUUUUUUUUUUGGUUUUUCGAGACAGGGUUUUUCUGUGUAUCCCUGGCUGUCCUGGAACUCACUCUGUAGACCAGGCUGGCCUCGAAUUCAGAAAUCCACCUGCCUCUACCUCCCUUAUGUUUCUAUUUUAUUGGUCAGGUUAUUAGUAGCUGUCUCAGUCCCAUUAACACUGACAUAUGUAUAUGAAUGUAGGAUAGUCCACUGUGCCAAGGUUAACCUACUAGUAGGCACACCUACAAAAAACUUGUUUAACUCUUCCUUGGGAGGUGCCAACUGCUAAUAACUUUUCAGGUGGGGUGAGGUCUGAGGAGUCCCUCCCCAAUCUUUGUUGAAACUUUAACUGUCUUGAUCUUGUGCAGGUGUAUUGCAGGCCACCACAGCUGUUCAACUUGUGUGUGCAUCAGGCCUUUAAAAUUUAAUAGUGAAACUUUUGAACUAUUGUGUUUAAGAGCAACUGUGACUGAAAUUAUACGUAGAAAUCAGCAUGGCAAGUUGCAUCACAUUUUGUCAGCAGAUGCUGUUAGAAGAUGCAUAGAAAAUGUUUCUUAACAUAUUGAGGAAUUUAUACAAAUUAUAUGGUGUGGAAGGCUUACUAUAGAGUUAAAUGAAAGCACUAGUGUUUGUAACACUUGAGCUGAUGGUAUUUGCUAGGCUAAGUCUUAGUAAGAAUAAGAACUGCAUUUUAUGAGUGACUCCAGUGCUAAGUGCUGUAGGUAACUGCUAAGCCUAAAAGUAUUCUCAGUAAAACAAUGCAUUAUUGAAAAUUCAUGAGUAUAUUCAUAUAAUUAAUAGAGAGGUUUGUUUGAUGAGUAUAAGAAGUGUUUUGGGGUUAGGUUUCAGCAUGACAUCCGAAUUCAUUUAUUUGUAAACAAGCUAUUUUUUUCAAAGAUACUGUAGUUAAAAGUUUAAGUGUUAUAGGAUGACAUUAAUAUAGUUAAUUUGUUCUUGUAAUUAAAGCUUUACAUAUAGAAGAAAAUACAUCAAGAACAGUGGAAAUAAAGUAAUACUUUAGUAGAGCCACUAUGAAAUCGUGCAGGAAGAUGGAGACUGCUCAUGAGUUUCAUUUGCCUAGUUUCAGAUGCACCAGUUAUCCAGUGGCAAAAAAUGGAGAAACUAUUAAAGUUUUGACUAUCGUGCAUUUUUCUUUCACAGUAUGACCCACGUUUUGUGAUGACUGUACUGUUUGUAAUGUCUGGACUGACCUUUCUGUCAUCCAUUUUAGGAAGACAUAUACUUGAUCUAUUUUUAAAAGAAUUAGCACUAGUGAUGAGCAAGAAAGUAAUUGAUAUUUGAAAGAGCCAUGGUAUAGAGAUUGAUUUCAUAUUAAAUGAUAAUAAUUACUUUUAUUAUGAUGAGAUUUUGUUGACAAAACUACCAUGCUUGUAAAACUAGUUUCUGCGCUUUUAAAAACCUGUACAAAAUGCAUCCGCAUAGUUUUGUAAAUUUGGGACAUAAAUUUAUAACUCGCUUUAUUGUCUUCUAAAUGUAGUCUUCAAUACAUUUUAAAUUUUUAUUUAAAAUCUUUCUGAACUAGUAUGACAUCAAGAAGGAUAGAACUUUACCAGGUGAUUUCAACAAGGUCUUUCAUCUACUUGGUGGCUGUGCUUGGUAACUGAGCUGUGUGAAUCAGUAAGCACAGCUGAAGCCACUCUUCCUCCAUUUGGUCUGCUGCUUUGUGAGGCCUUCUCUGCAACCUCUCCCAUGCUAAUGAUUACAGUUAAUUUCAUAUGACACCAUCCUUUCUAAUUACUAUUUCACAAUAUGUAGAACUAAGCCAACAUGCAACGCGUGACCCCAUGUAUUUAAUCUUUUAAUUUCUGCUUUUACUGGUUUUAGUGAAGGAAAAUGUUUUCAAUAUUGUAAUUGAUAAAUUUAAAAAUCUGAAGUGUUAUUCAUUUCUUUUCAUUUAAAAGCUUAGUACUACCUACUGGUAGGUUAUAAUGUAUAGAAUAUAGUAGUAUAUGCUUGUAAAAUGUAUCAUUAACUGAAUAUGCUGGGGUGUGGGCUUCUAUUAAGCAAUGGCACUAGACCAGUUUAAAUCAUUCAGGAUGGAGGAACUGCAGAGUAUUGAGUUCAGUUGCUAGUGCUGUAGGGCUGCUGACCUGAGUUUGGAUCUUCAGCGCUCAUGUCCAAAAGCUGAGCAGGACCGCUGGGGAGCAGACAGGUGGAUCUGUCAACCUUGAGGACAGCAAGCCAGACAGAGUCAGUGAGCUUUAGGUUCAACAGAAAAAUAAACAAGCAAGCAAACAAACAAACAAAC